AUAAGGACAGCCUAAGCUUCAACCAGAGGAAGAUAAUGAACUGUCACCUUGUGCAUGCUAUGAGGAAUAAUAUAUAGCAGACGGAACCCAGAAGCAUAGAACAAGCUGAGCACAGACGAGAGCGGCGGGAAACAGAGGUUGCAACGUCUUGGGAGUGUGGCCUACCAAAGGGAGAUACCGACGGCCUUCAAGCCCUCUGUGUAAGUUUCAUGCGGGAGAUCCUAAUGACUAAUGAGUGACAGUAAUGUACACAAAGCCUGUAACAUCGAACGUGCAGUGAAAUUUCAAAAUGAACUCAACAACCGCUGAUGAUGACAUACAAUGUUUAAAGAUGUUAAAAUACACUACUAUCCGUUGUUUAUAAAUAUUUUUUGGGACUUGUAUAUUUUGGAUGCUGGUAUUAUUUAUUUUAGGUUUUUUAGCAUUCAAUCUUAUGUUGGAAUACACACAAGUGAUUAAUGAAAUGAUCUACGAGUGGCACACACUCAUUCCUUAA